UCGGAUAUGGUGUAACGGCUAACAUUGCCGCCUCUCAGUAGUUCAGUGGCUGCAAAUUAAGGCGCCGUGAGUUUGCAGUCACUGAAACUUGCAUCGCGGCAGCUCGGGGUUCGAUUCCCCGUAUCCGAA